rnacentral:rRNA from 1 species
UACGGAGGGGGCGAGCGUUAUUCGGAAUUAUUGGGCGUAAAGGGCGCGUAGGCGGCAUGGUAAGUCAAAGGUGAAAUCCCUCGGCUCAACCGAGGAAUUGCCUUUGAAACUGCCAAGCUUGAGGCCGGGAGGGGGUAGCGGAAUUCCACGUGUAGCGGUGAAAUGCGUAGAGAUGUGGAGGAACACCGAUGGCGAAGGCAGCCUUCUGGGCCAAUACUGACGCUCAUGCACGAAAGCGUGGGGAGCAAACAGG